GACUCCAUGGUCAAAGGGUUAAGACAUUUAAUUUUCAUUUAAAAAAUACCCGUUCAAAUCGGGUUGGAGUUA